CUCUCUCUCUCUCUCUCGAAUUAACCUUGAUGAUUCACGCGUGACUUACGGAACACGCGCUUAGAGACACAGGAGGCGACAGCGGCCGCGUGCGAGAAAGCCGUUUUUCCUUCACGAAAUACGAGAAGCUAAGUACGACGUUGGUAAUAAAUAUCGAGGAAACGCCUAAGUGAAUUCGAGCUCGCGUUUCUAUGUAUGUACCUAUCUAUCCGUGCGGUCUCGUCGUGUUCCAGAGUCUCGUAUUUGAAAUACUUUUUUAAUGGCGAUUGAAAAUAUUUGCAAAGUUUUUUCUCGAGUUCCAUCGAGAAAGACGGGGACAGGUGUCUUUCAAGCCGUGUAGAACAAAGAAUGCGUAUGUUCCUUGAGAAAAAGUCGUUGAAUAAAAGUGCCAUCGGUGUUUACCCUAUGCAUUAUUAAUACGUCUACUUUCACGAGUCGACGCGCAGGCCUUUUUGGUAUCGCAUUCUAUUCUCUAAGCAAAGAAAAGAAAAGAAAAGAAAAUAAGCGACGUUCGAUGGCUCGUUUCCUUUUCGUCGUUUCAAUCAAAACGAUGUGCACGACGUAACGCACCGCGUUCACGGAUGCAAUCGACACGGGUUUCCGGUAGAUCGGUCGAGUUGCGAGCCGGAAGUUGCACGGACUGCUCGAUUGUGACUAGUCGCAUAAGCGCAAUUUUACGUUUCUGUUCGUCGACGAUUGAAUAACGAGCAAACAACGCCAACUUUACGAGGUCAUACUUAAUUGAACGUCCUCGCGAGGCAGGUUAAUUAUCUCUCUCGUCUAAAUUCAUUAAUACGAAUUAAUGCGAGAAUUUAGAGAAAAUUUUUUUCUCGGGAAACUUUCCAAAGGGUUUGAAUCGCAAAAAAAAAAAAAAAAAAAAAGCAACAUCGUUGGUAACAUGAGGCUAACGUAAAUCGGUCCUAGUAAAUUACGUUCGUAAAUUACGAUACGUUGUAGGAAUAAUUAAACCGUUAGACUCGCGUACGAACGAAGAAAUUACGAGCGAACGUCAGGCGAACGUUAGACCGCACUCUACUCUAUGUAUCCUAUAUAUUUGCCAUAGGCGGACAACAGACCGAGUAUGGCCUAGAGUCGCCAUGUAAUGUUUGCACACACCCUGCGUAUUUUCCAGUGAUUUAAGUAAUCGCUCGUAAAUGAUUUAGCUUGCGGCAUUGAUCGUAUACAUUUUUUAUUUAUAUUUCCAGGCUGCUCGUGUAGAGGGGGAGAGAGAGAGAGAAAGAGGGAAGGAGCAACGAUUUUAUUUCGUACGGUCAAAUUAAUGCAACUACGUCUCGUUAUUAAAAACAAAAACAAAAAAAAAAUAAAGAACGGACUUUUUAAUAAACAAAUGAGAAAAGGUGACCAGGUGUACGUGGCAAGUCGAUGCUAAUGAACGCGUAACGAUGACGAAUGUUUGACUCCAUUUUCGUCGUCGAGAAUACCUCUAUCGUCCUGCUAAUGAUUAAACGAUCGCGGCAUGCAAAGCGUCGAUACCGAAGAAUAAUCGAUUUAACACAGGGUGCUUCUUAAUCUCCCAAUUAUAGUCUAAUAUCGAGUAGUGACUGACCUUCGAGCAUCACCUUGACACCUCUCUCUCUCUCUCUCUCUCGAGCCGGUUUCGAUAAGGUCGAACGCUUUCCUUCUCGAUUUCAUCGGCCACGUCGAUUUCUUCGAGAAUCUCCUCGUCAUCUUUUAAAUAUUUAUUUCAUAUUUUACAAGCAAGCUUUUAACGACGAGAAUUGAAUGAAUAAGAAUCGCGAUGAUGAGUUCGUAAAUGAAAAGGCAAGGUGAACUUUGUAAAGCGCGUUUCGUCCCUUCACCCUCAUCAUUCACCUCCGAUAAAAGGAUCUAAGGAAAGUGGCGUCGUGAACUUCGAAGGAGAAGAAUCGUUCGGCAUCACGAGAUAUCCGCGUAACGACGACUUCUCACGCUCACGUGCCUCUUUCGUGAUCACUAUUACUAGUUUUCGUGCUUCGAGAUAUACGCCAGCCGGUUUUAAUACAAAGGAAGAUGCAAAACGCACGGACACGCGCGCGUAUAACACAAAAUGUAGAUACACGUGAGAAACGCUUCGACUACUUAAAAAAAAAUGGGGGGGGGGGGAAGAAAGAAAAAAGAAGAUAAAAAGAAACAAAAUAAAUAAAAUAGAAAUUGAACGAAUUUGACUGAUUGAUUAUCUAAUUAUCCUGUAACGGCCGUAUAUCAUCGAGAGUCAUCAUUGAGCAUAUUCGAGCAAACAAUAAACGAACAGACGAACGGACUUUCGUUUUGUUCGGUGAACACGCCAUUCAGAGAUUCUUUUCUCUCUCUCUCUCUCUCUCUCUCUCUCUCUCUCUCUCUCCCUCGAGUAUUCUCGAUCUCAUCGAUCGCGUUUCCUUCCUGGUUCACCGGGAGAAAGCCGAGGAGUAGUUGUAAACUGUACGCGGUCAAACUGUCUUCUUCUCUCCGUGAGAAGAUAUCUUUUCGAAUUAAAAGUAAAAGUUUCGAAAUGAUUUACGAGUGUCCUAGAAAUAAUAGGGAAGACGAUUUUAUGUAAUGAAAGAAGAUCUCUUGGGUACUACAUUGAUAUAAGUGUACAUGACUAAAUGGAGGCGCCUUUUUAAAAAGUCGUCGCAAAAGACCGUGAGAGAGUGAGAGAGGCCGGAAGAAGCAGAUGUAGAGAAAGAGAAAGAAGAGUAGAAAAAUCUUUAGCCAGAUGGGCAGAACGACAAAGAACUGAAACGCGUUGCUACCAUCCACAGGAGGAACACGUGCUCCCAGCCAAGAGUUUUAUCUCCUGGAAAACCAGCUGAACCGAACCGGUUCCUCGUUCUUCGUUGAGACGAGACGCGUCGUCGUUCCACUUGAAUCCAUCCAAAGAAAGACGAGCGAGCGACAGAUGUCCCUUAGUUCGUUGGUACCUGUUCUCCUCUCGGGCCCGUGUAAAAACGAUGAAUCCGAGACGAUUUUCUCAACAUCCUUCGUCGUCCCAUGGACCAGAGAGAAAGAAAGAGUGAGAGGGAGACAGAGAAAGACAGAGAGAAAUAGAUUGUAUCUCCACUAUCCUCGUGACAAUGUUGCAAAAGAGCGCGAUCGAGUAAAUCGAUAAGAUCGCUCGACAAAAAAUAACAAACAGAGAAACAGAAAUCGGAAAAGAGAGAAAAAGAAUGAUUGCCUGGCAUGCGAUAAAAAUAAAUGAAAAAGAGAGAGAGAGAGAGAGAGAGAGAUGGAUGUGUCGAAGCGCAUAAAAAUUCAAUUUCUCCCCAAAGAAACGAGGACAUCAAUUCACAUGUCCACUUAUCGCUCUCGUAAUCUCUUCGGAGGCAAAAAGAAAAAAGUAAAAAAAUAUCGAUGUUGUCCGAUCUCGAGUACUCGUUUGGCUGUUACAAAUCGAGAGAAUUACUUUCAAGGCUAUUGCACGAUCGUCGGAGCGCUCCUUCGAGUACAUACGUUCUAAGCUGCAUGACGUAGUGAAACGAUGAGUCUUCCAAUAGCUUCCGAUGCGUAAGACGGAGAUGACAUUAAAAAGACGCGCGCGCGCGCGAGAGAGAGAGAGAGAGAGAGAGAGAGAGAGAGAGAGAGAGAGAGAGAGAGAGGGCGGGCGAACAAAGCGAUCUUGUUCUCUCGUACUUUAUCCUAGGACCAUCGAUCUAUCGAUCCUUAUUUGUUUGGUCUAUCAUUAGAGUCUCGUAAAUCCCUGUAUGUUCCUUCUUUCCAUUCUAUCGUGUACAUUCGUUGCGUACGAUCGAAGCAUAUGAAUUUCCAUCUCACGCGGACGUAACGUGAUAAUACGCCCCUUGACGUGUACCUACGAGAUACGUUCUCUCGAUGAACAUCGCUCGGUCGUUCAGCUUUAAAAUCCUUUACGGAUGUAUUCAUCAUCGCUAAAAUAAAUUUCAUUCAUUGGUCAAUGAAAUCUUUCACAUUUAUUUUCUAAACUCACAAACACUGGUCUCGUAGAGUCAGCCAAUGAAGAAACUAUAUUAAAAAAACAAAAGAGGAAAAAAAAAAGAAAGAAAAAUAAUGACAAAGGAUCCGUGCCAAUCGUUGAUUGUAAAAGAGUCAUUCGUUAUCGUUGAGCAACGCGACUCGAGAUAGAAGAGAGCAAGCGUUCAUGAACGAACGUAGAAACGUGAGAUAACGGAAUGCAAAUCGGCGCAGGAUGAGAACGAGGGUUUUAAAAUUAUGCGAGUAAGCGCUUUUCUUUCUGACGUGUCUGUAUGCCCAUUGCAUCGUUGAGCGCGCAACACUCGCGGAUUAUGGUUAUGUGAAAACCCUGAGAAUCGGUUGAAAAGUUAACGCUACCGGCAAAAACUUUAUAGGCUAGAAUUCCAAGUUGAUGGCAUCAUAUCGAUCCGUCUUUUGUCGUCGUUAGGUUAGCAACCUCGCUGGUACCAGGAAGUUAUUUCAUCGUUGCUUGUGCGUUCUAAACUAUUGCAGCACAGAAAAGUACGGUUAUUCCGUGCCAGAAGUAGUAAUAAAGAAAACUUUCCUCGAUUACGUUCGUUAUUAGGAAAAUUUCGUCCAUCUUUCUUCAAUCCUUAUUGUUAAGUAAGAAAAUUACUUCGUAAAAAUAUUUUCUUUCUCUUUUUUUUCCUCGCAAUUAAAGAUGAUUCCAUUGAGCGAGCGAGUUUUAAGGAGGUAAACAAAAAAGGAAAAAGUUUAUGCACCUUUUCAGCCUCAAAAAUGCAAAAGAACGUUUUAAAUCGCCUACGCUCGUUCUAACUACAGCACUGCGUUCGUGUUGUGUGACUCUCGUUUCCAAGCAACGGAAUAUUUCCUAUAGAAUACCGAAGGACGAAUCUACAGUAUUACCUAGUACCGGAUCGAUAAAUUCACUGCUAUUAAUUAAUGUAUAUUUAAGUUAUAAUAGAAUAUUUUGAAACAAGCACUUCUUCGGGCCACUAUAACGUUCUCGAGCAUUAGCUAAGUACGACACACUUACAAAAUAGCUCGCUAAAGGUUACGCGACUUUCAAAUGCCAAGGCUCUUCUGCCUGUUGGUGGAAAAAAGAAACUCUCCCCCAGUUGACCGAAGAAAAAAAAUGUCAACUUCUACAGCACUCUUUACUGCAAUGUCGUAAAUCGUCGAUACUCUACGUCUACGCUCGGAGGAACCGUGAAGGAAAAAAAGUAAGGGAAAAAAAAGCACGAGCUGCGAUACUGCGACGAGGUCAAUCGGAGGCUAGUUCCCGAAAAGAUUUAAAGGUUAUGCCGAGUAGAGUUCCCUCCUCGGUGGUCUUCCAUCUUGAAAGAUAAAUAACUUUGAGAUAUUCGAUGUCCAACAAUGACAAAGAACGCAGCUAUUUCUUCUCGAGUCAGCUGACUUUGUGAAAAAUAACGUUCGUCUACAUUGUAAUUGAUUAGAUUAUACGGUUACAUAAUUAAUGUUUAUGCGCAGACAUAAAAAAAAAAAAGAAACAAAACUCGAGGUAAAUAUUAACACGGCGAAGAAAAGAGCAACGAAUGAAUUUGUUCGUUCGCUUCGUCGAACACUUGUUCAAUUAGGUCGAAGAAACGAACGCGAUAGAAGUCUUGAGCGGUGUCGAAGCCGAUGUAUAUUUCAAAGAGACUCGUCUGGAAGGGAGACGACGACGCCACGUCUGCGAUGCACCAAACGACCCACGUCAUUCCGACGUCUAAUACCGGCGAUAGAGGAGAAGAAGAAGAAGAAGAAGAAGAGAAAAUGGUCUUUCCAUCAGUGAAAAAGCCUUUUCGCACGCAGCUGUUACUCGUUGUGAAAACGAUUUUCCUCCGGAUAGCCUAGGAUUUACACGCUCGUGCGUGUCUAUUACGUGUCCAAUAACGUUCCACGUCUAUCACGCGAAUGUACACCAACUAUUGUAUAUAUAGAUACGUUAUACAGAGAGUUACUUCUCUCGCGUGAUACACACGCGUAUCGCGUAACGAGGAUUCGUCCAUUGAAAAAUUAGACUAUUCCAGAAAAAGUAAACGCAAACAAUAAAUAUUAUAUUGCGAACCGAGGACGUCCGUUGACGAGGAGGAAAUCCGGAUCAGAUAAACUCGGUCGGUACACAGGACGAGAAUUGAUAAAUAAAAAGGACAAGUUUCAAAAAGAACGAGUAGUCAUUGACUCAUCCUCUGUACCAAUAAUAUAAUUAAA